CACUGCCGACGAGUCUUAAACAGGACGAAACAGUUGUCCAGGGC
rnacentral:hammerhead_ribozyme from 1 species